AUGAACUAAUUUUGUAAUUAUUCAUUUCUUUUUUUAAUCACGUGACUCUUUCGAGGUCUACGAUUGGUCAACAACGAAGCGCGGAUUUUUUCUGAGACGAUUUAAAAAUUAGUGUGAUUGAAAUGCUGAGACCAAAAAAGGAGAUUUUGAAGUCGAAGUGCCUUUUUUGCUGUGACUUCAUUAAAAUGCAGAACCAUAGGAGAAUACCUCAACAAUAUAACUGUGUCUUAUUACAAGUUCAACCCAAGGAAAAGUGCGUAAACAUGUUGAAGGGUGAAAUCACAUAGCAUAUUCAAAUAAAGAUCAAAGAGAGAAAGAUUGGGUGAAUAGACUUUGAAGGAAUGUAGGCGAUCUGUGAGUGUGAUCAGUCAGUGACAUAACUUUGUUCAGUGCAAGCCCAUUGGAAGCAAAAUCAUUUCGGGGGGCAGGGAACACCCCCACUUCUCGGUACCUACCAUGUAGUGACUAGACGUGAAAGUAACAAACUAUUAUUCUACAAAAUUAUAUGUAUAAUCCAGUUGAUGAUUUUAUAUUCCAAUUUAGUCUCUAAAUUAUUUAUGGA